UAUCAAUAAGCGGAGGAAAAGAAACCAACAGGGAUUGCCCUAGUAACGGCGAGUGAAGCGGCAACAGCUCAAAUUUGAAACCUGGCGCAAGCCCGGAUUGUAAUUUGUAGAGGAUGCUUCUGGGUAGCGGCCGGUCUAAGUUCCUUGGAACAGGACGUCACAGAGGGUGAGAAUCCCGUACGUGACCGGCCCGCGCCCUCUACGUAGCUCCUUCGACGAGUCGAGUUGUUUGGGAAUGCAGCUCUAAAUGGGAGGUAAAUUUCUUCUAAAGCUAAAUACCGGCCAGAGACCGAUAGCGCACAAGUAGAGUGAUCGAAAGAUGAAAAGCACUUUGGAAAGAGAGUUAAAAAGCACGUGAAAUUGUUGAAAGGGAAGCGCUUGCAACCAGACUUGUCGGCGGUGUUCCGCCGGGCUUCUGCCCGGUCUACUCACCGCCAGCAGGCCAUCAUCGUCUAGGGCCGCCGGAGAAACCGUAAGGAAUGUGGCUCCCUCGGGAGUGUUAUAGCCUCGCGUGAUGCGGUGCGCCCUGGGCGAGGUCCGCGCUUUGCAAGGAUGAUGGCGUAAUGGUUGUCAGCGGCCCGUCUUGAAACACGG
rnacentral:rRNA from 1 species